AUGGUGGAUCUGAGUUUGUUGUUCGUAGUAGGCAGGUAUGGUUUCCUCCAACGUCUUAGUUGGGCGGGGGUGUCAGAUUUGGAGUUCGAUGGCUUGUCUGGGGUGUUGCCCCGAUCUGUUUCAUUCAACGGCAAUGGCUUGGCCUUUAUUGGCGAGCCACCUUGGAGGUCCGCAAAGUUGCAUAUCAGCGAUGGAGCCGCGUCGAGCUUGGGUGGUGAUCCGUCAUUUUCUCCUUUGAUGGCUGCUAUGGUGGUGCCAGAGGCAGGUGACGAACGUUGGUGUCAAGCUCAGAGGAUCCUUCAGUCUUGUUUGUAA
rnacentral:rRNA from 1 species